rnacentral:lncRNA from 1 species
GUCUACAGCACCUGGUGGAGUACUGCUGUGAAGGGCAUGGCCAAAGGAGAUCCUACCUCUGUCAGCUCUGCCGCCUCCCUGUCCCCUCACGGAGGGUCAUCCAACACACACUCGGCUUCGACCACCUCUACUGGUACUUCGUAAGUAACUGUGUUUGUAUCUGGAGACUCACACUUGGUAAGAAUCUGCUACCAGCAACCAGUCAUUUUCAAUGAAAGGAGAAGAGGACAGACGCACAUAGACUUAAAGGUCGACCACAAGAGAGCAAGCAACCAAUGUUCUGCAUUUCCAAUAUUAUGCAAAUUACAGCGAAGUGACCGCACGAUAGCCAAUCGGAAGAGAGCAAGCUCAUGCAAGCAAGCUUCGACGUUAGCUAACUACACAUUUUUUUCAUGCAUGCUUUUUGAGGAUACACCCGUGAGGUGGUGUAUCAACUAUUUCAUCGCUCAUUACCGCUUCAAGUGUGAGUCUGGCGUGUGUGUUACACCCUCUACUGGUAUUUCUUGACUACCUCUGUAUGUGUAGAAGGUGUUUCACCCCUCCACCCUCCUGAUGAAGGACUGUUAUAAAGAGUACAGCUGCAGGUUCAUCGCCAUGAUCCUGGACCUGGCCAAUCAGGUGCAAGACAUCAGUCAGUCAGCCAAUAUGGAGAUACAGCAAGUUGUGUUGGAACCAGCAGUGUUCUCCUCAGUUGAGUUUUCUGUCUACACAGAGGCUCUGAGGAAGUUGCAGACCAUUAGGAGAGCUCGUAAGGAGGGCAGCCUUAAGACCAGCAUUAUACCUGGAGACAAACUGGUUCCUUCCUCAGAAGGGUCAAAGAUUACCAAAGAUGUUACCAUGACUAAUGUUGCUGAGGCUGUUCCUAUGGAGACCAAGUCAAGCCCAGUGAAGACCUAUGUCACACCUACAGCUGUUGAGACUGUAGCUACAGCAAGUACUGCUCCAGUUGUUACCAAAGCUACUAGCCAGAGGGGGACCUGUCGACUGCACUGUCAGGACUGCAACGUGGUAUGUGAGUCUGUGUCGCAGUACAAGUUACAUGUGCGUCACUGGAAACACAAGGAGAUGCUAGGAGUUAUCUUUGAACCAGGGGAAGAGGACAGUAAAGCCUGCAUCCCAUCCUUUACCUUGUAUGAGUACAUCCGGAACUCAGAAAGAACUGAACCAAUUAUUGGUGUCUAUCUGUUGGUGAUGUGUUUGAGUACUGAGUGUUGGAAAACGCCCUUCUACCUGUGUCACACCUGUCAGGAGAUAAUCCCUGCCAAUCUCGUCAUGACUCACCUCACCUCCACACUCCACCUUCGACGCACCCUGGUCAGUGUGUUGCUUUUUAUAUCACCCUUUAUGGCUAUGGCUGCUUCUAAAUGA